AGAUCCUCUUGUUUCCUUUUGUCUGCAACUCCAACACACACAUAAACACUCAAAUACCUCCAUCUUCCUUCUCCACUUGGAAACCCUAAAACCAUUCACGCCCACCCACAACAGACUCUCUCCUUCACUCCCCUUUCCCUCUCGAUCUACCUCUGCAACACAAAAGGAGGUUUACACCUUAAACCUCAGCCAUACCCCUCUCCUACCUCUCCCGUGAAGAUGUCCGGCGACCAGCACCGUCCCGACGACCACAGCGGCAGUAGCGACGGUGGUUUUCUCCGGCGACCGUGUUCUCGAUCUCCUCUCCGGUAAGCGUGUCUCCUCUUCGUUCUUGCUCAGAUCGGCGGUUCAACUCUACAGUUAGAAGCUAUUUUUUUCCUUUUCGUUUUCGUUUCAGGAAGUUGCGUGUCUCCGGUCAGUGCGACGCUGAUUGACGGCGUCAGUGAUGGUGGUAGCCGACGGCUGGAGAAGCGGUGGUGGUCACGUCUGCUGGUUCCAGAUUGGGUUAACUCCGGUUUGAGUUUGCCUUGUCUCGGUUCCGGUUCGGGUCAGGUGGUAAUUCAUAUUCGAUGUUUUGUUCGAGUGACGAUCAACAUCAGGUUUAGUUGUCUCGGUUCAGGUUCGUUUCAGACUUGAUCGGGUUUUGUCGAGUCAAGGCUGAUUAAACAGUCAACCCGAUCAGUUUUGCUGUCGAGUCUGGUUCGUGUUUCGACUCAGUUUGGUUUGGAUCUUGGCUCAGCUUAGCUCCGAUUCAGUUUUGGUUCUCGGUUUGUUUCGACUCACGCAGUUCGGUUCAGAUUCGGAUCGAUUUGGUUCAGAUCCGGUUCAGUCGAGUUCAAUCGGUUCGGUUCGAUGCCCGGGUCAAACCUGGUCAAACUUGGUCAACUGAGGUCUCGAUGCACUCGGGUGACCUCGGUGUUCCACCCUCCAAAUCUUUUACGCUCGUCAACACUUGGAUAAUCGGAAGACUUAGCAAUUAUGUUGACAGUCAAGAUGUUGAAGAAUCAAGUUAGGAUGGACUAGAUACCCA